rnacentral:rRNA from 1 species
GAUGAACGCUGGCGGCGUGCCUAAUACAUGCAAGUCGAGCGAAUGGAUUAAGAGCUUGCUCUUAUGAAGUUAGCGGCGGACGGGUGAGUAACACGUGGGUAACCUGCCCAUAAGACUGGGAUAACUCCGGGAAACCGGGGCUAAUACCGGAUAACAUUUUGAACCGCAUGGUUCGAAAUUGAAAGGCGGCUUCGGCUGUCACUUAUGGAUGGACCCGCGUCGCAUUAGCUAGUUGGUGAGGUAACGGCUCACCAAGGCAACGAUGCGUAGCCGACCUGGGAGGGUGAUCGGCCACACUGGGACGGAGACACGGCCCAGACUCCUACGGGAGGCAGCAGUAGGGAAUCUUCCGCAAUGGACGAAAGUCUGACGGAGCGACGCCGCGUGAGUGAUGAAGGCUUGCGGGUCGUAAAACUCUGUUGUUAGGGAAGAACAAGUGCUAGUUGAAUAAGCUGGCACCUUGACGGUACCUAACCAGAAAGCCACGGCUAACUACGUGCCAGCCGCCGCGGUAA